rnacentral:rRNA from 1 species
AUUGAACGCUGGCGGAAUGCUUUACACAUGCAAGUCGAACGGCAGCACGGACUUCGGUCUGGUGGCGAGUGGCGAACGGGUGAGUAAUGUAUCGGAACGUGCCCAGUCGUGGGGGAUAACGUAGUGAAAAUUACGCUAAUACCGCAUACGAUCUAUGGAUGAAAGCGGGGGAUCGCAAGACCUCGCGCGAUUGGAGCGGCCGAUAUCAGAUUAGGUAGUUGGUGGGGUGAAGGCCCACCAAGCCAACGAUCUGUAGCUGGUCUGAGAGGACGACCAGCAACACUGGAACGGAGACACGGUCCAGACUCCUACGGGAGGCAGCAGUGGGGAAUUUUGGACAAUGGGCGAAAGCCUGAUCCAGCCAUUCCGAGUGCAGGAUGAAGGCCCUCGGGUUGUAAACUGCUUUUGUACAGAACGAAAAGGUUUCUACUAAUACUAGGAGCUCAUGACGGUACUGUAAGAAUAAGCACCGGCUAACUACGUGCCAGCCGCCGCCGUAA